GAUUAACGCUAGCGGCAGGCCUAAUACAUGCAAGUCGAACGGCAGCACGGGUAGCAAUACCUGGUGGCGAGUGGCGCACGGGUGCGUAACGCGUAUGCAAUCUACCUGUAACUGGGGAAUAGCCUUCCGAAAGGAAGAUUAAUACCGCAUAACAUCACGAAGUGGCAUCACUUUGUGAUCAAAUCUCCGGAGGUUACAGAUGAGCAUGCGUGACAUAGCUAGUUGGUGAGGUAACGGCUCACCAAGGCUACGAUGUCUAGGGGGUCUGAGAGGAUGAUCCCCCACACUGGUACUGAGACACGGACCAGACUCCUACGGGAGGCAGCAGUAAGGAAUAUUGGACAAUGGGCGCAAGCCUGAUCCAGCCAUGCCGCGUGCAGGA
rnacentral:rRNA from 1 species